rnacentral:lncRNA from 1 species
AGCAGCUUGGAUCUGUUUUCCUCCUCUGCCAAAAGAGGUUUUUGUUUCCCUUGUGAUUUUGUUCAAACUCCUCAAACCCCAGUGAGAAGCCCAACAGGAGCCUGGGGGGUCUCAGGAGUCCUGCAAACCACCGUUGCCAAAGCAGUGGAUGGCACAGCUGUGUGACCCACAGCAGCGAAACCCCACAGAGCUCCCUCUUGUCACUGCUCAUGUGGCUUUAGUGGAUGCCUGCUGAAGAAACACGAUGGUCCAACUCCAUGAGCCGCACCGGAUCUCUCUCCCGCAGUUGCAGCCAUUAUAUGUUUUUUUUGCUCACAACCAAAACAAGUCCUUCACCUCCUGCUGAUGUCCUCCUGAAUAGACCUACAAAUUCCUCAUCCAUCAGCACAGAUUUGUUAUCUGCAUUCAUCUACAGACUGCAAAAGCCUGAUGGCAAACCCACUUUUCCUCCCUCCCUCCUGCACUGCUAGGUGCUCUUGGAGAGGGAAAAACUUAGAUUGGCAACUGCUUACUGAGAUGCUUCUUAUUAUUUUGCUUAUCUUCCUGCCAAAGUUUGAGGAAAACUGAGGAAUUCCACUUCUUCCUAAAACUGUGUCCACUGACCACAUGGCGUUACAGGCGCUUCGGCACAGCACAGCAUCUGAUUCUGGCACAUUUUUGAGAUAGUCCCUGAUUAUCCUUCCCUGCAUACCUGUGUGUGGUUCCUUUCUGUCCUCAUAAAUCAAGUCUCAUGACUAGUUGCAGGAAAACCUGGGGAACAGAAUGUAGCGCUGUUAAAAAAUAAUGUCUUUGUAUCUGGACACCAUUCACUUCCAUUUAAAAAAAAAUGAAAAGCAGCACAGGCUUCAUCUGCGCACAGACCCAAGCGGCCUUCCAGCGCCUUCGCCUUCACGGUGACACCUCCUCCAGCCCUGCCCCUGGCGACCGUGCAACAGCCCUGGGCCAAGUGGAGCAACGACUACACAGCCAAGUUGUACCAGAGAAUGAUUCAGUAUAUGCUUUUCAUCUUUUAGCGCACUUUAACUACCGAAAAUUCGGAAAAGUGUCAGCAUCCAGUAACCAGCAAGGUCUACCGUGUGUCCCACCCGAAUCAUCAGCUGGUUAUCAGGCCACAGCUGUAGGAUACCACAUGUCAAGGAGGAGCUCUCACUAUGUACAUGAUGCUUCCUUCUUGUUAGAAAAAAUAAAAAUAUAUAUAUUCUUUUCUGACUUCCCUAAAGGAGCAAAAUUGCCAAGCAGGAAGCAAACUGUGUUAAGAGAUAAAGGGAGUUAUAAUCACAGGCUUAGUACCAGCACAGAAGUCUCUAAGAGCAACUGCACUCAGAAAAAAAUUACUCAGUAAACAUCUGAAUGUCUGCUAAACCAAAAAUAUGACUCAUUAGGUACCAACUGACUGUCAGUGACUACUGUUUGUUUGUUCUCAAUUUUUAUUUAAUUCUUCUAACUCAGAUAAAUAAAUCUUGCUCCAGCCCUAAUGUGUGACUCA